GGGAGGCGGAGCUUAGGGAGGGGCCGGUGUCGGGAGGGACCCAGGGACUGGGAGGCCGGUCGGGGCUGGGCUCAGGGGCCGAGACCUAGCUGGGCUUGGGGCGGGGCCGAGACGGAGCGAGGGGUCCAGGGCGUGGGAAACGGGGAGGGGUUUGAGGAGGGGAUCGGAAUGUGGCUCAAGUUCGGGAGGCGUUACCUGCGGAGGGUUUGAGGCAGGUCCAGGAGCGAGCCCACGGUCCGCCGACGCGGGACCAGGGGCGGGCCCCAGGAUCCGGAGCUUCGGGCGGGGCCGAGUCCGGGUUUGGGGCCCGGAAGGCGGGGCCAGUUAGGGCGAGGGUCCCUGGGAUCGUCAGGUCAGGCCUUGGGCUAACGUAGGCACUCUCGCAGUUCCUCCGCCUUCAGGAAAGUCUUUUUAGCAGGGGCCUUACGGGUUCGCGCUUUGGUCCUGGAGGCCUUAUCCUAGCCUCCUCUGUAUCAGCGCCACCAGUCUGGGGCCCGAAAGGAGGGAGCUUUCCCUCUGUCCCCCAGCCUUUGGACUGUCACCAAACAAGCCAUUCGUUCACCAAAUACUUAUUAAGCGCCUACCAUGUGCCUGACAAGGGAGAUGUAACGCUGUUGUUCCCCACCAGAACCAAAUGAGCGCAAGAUCUGACAAAGAAAAAAAGAAGUUCAUCUUUUAUUCCCCCAAACCCUUUCAUUUAAAUCAAGAGGGUGGGAUGUGGUUAUUGCUGUGUUUUUAGGCAGAAUCAACGGUUUCUGGGUCUGAGAAGUUGCAUACACACUCUCAGUCCCUGUAUCCUGAGAUGGAGUCACCUGAGGAUCCACAGCAAGUCCUAACCAGGGAUGGGUCUGGGUGAUUAAGGAAGGUUGGCUUCAGAACUGGGCCAGAGGCACUGCUUUGCUUUUGCUGUUUUGAUCAGCUCUGUGCCUGCAUGAGACAAGGAAAAUCAAUGGGAACAGCCCAGUAAAGUCGCCAUUCCCCAUUUUACAGCUGGGGAAACUGAGUUACAGAGCUUUUCUGCACUGAGUCAUCAGGAGCAAAUGCUAGAUCAGGUAAUUGAACCCAAGCAAUCUGGUUCCAGAGCCAAAUAGAUGUAU
rnacentral:lncRNA from 1 species